rnacentral:lncRNA from 11 species
UGAAAUGGUGUUGAUCCCUGAGAGCCAGCUUUAACUCCCCAAUUCUGUCUCUGCAGUAAAACGUCAAAGUGAUCGCAGAAUAACUUCAGAAAAACAUCAAGAUGACUAUAAAACAGUCUCAGCAAGUGACCAAAAAUUCAACAUUUCCGAGGAAGGAAGUGAUAAAAAAUUCAACUCUUCUAAGGAAGAAAUCGAUGAAGGGUUCAUCAGUGCUGAGGAAGCAAGUGAGAAAAAUUCCCUUAACUCGGAGGAACCAUUGUGUCCAUCUGUCAGAUUUGUCAGCAUCAAAGCAGGUAAAUUGGGGGCGAGAGGCAAUGGGGAGAAGAGGGUCAAGCCUUGAGACAGAGAAUUCAAUGUCCAGUCCUUAUUUGGUGGACAAAUUUCUCCCCCCAAACUCACGGAGGCACUCUCAGCCUUGAAGGAAAAGAAGUUCAGAAGGAGGAGAGUGGUGCUGUGGCACAGGGCAAGGGUGCAUUUGUGGUACAGGUGGAGGGGUAGCCAAAUGGUACUAUGGAACAUCCAUUAAAAUCCUACGGACAGGAG